UACGGAGGAUGCAAGCGUUAUCCGGAUUUAUUGGGUUUAAAGGGUGCGCAGGUUAUUUGAUAAGUCAGUGGUGAAAGUCUGUCGCUUAACGGUAGGAUUGCCAUUGAUACUGUUAGACUUGAAUAUGGAUGAGGUAGGCGGAAUGUGUAGUGUAGCGGUGAAAUGCAUAGAUAUUACACAGAACACCGAUUGCGAAGGCAGCUUACUAAUCCAUCAUUGACGCUGAGGCACGAAAGCGUGGGGAUCAAACAGGA
rnacentral:rRNA from 1 species